CUUAGAAUAGCUGUAGAAUGUACCAAGAAUGCAAUCUCCUGAGAUAAGAAGGAACUCUCUGGAAUAGCCCAGGAUAUAUCCUUGUUCCUUGAACUCAGUGAUUCAAGCAGUGCCCAGGGUAUAAAACCAAGGGCGUGGUGCAUGCUUUGGGCGUCUCUCAACUGCUGUUUGACAUGGGACACAUACAGGACUUCCAGGACUAUGUGGAACGGAAGUGGUGAAAAUGGGCAUCCUUGUCCUGUUCCAGUUCUGAGGUGGAAUGCUUUCAACUUCUAUCCAUUCGGUAUGAUGUUGGCUUUGGAUUUGUCAUAGAUGGAUUUUAUUACUUUGAGGUCAACAUUAUUUAUUUAUUGACUACAGGCCUCAUUAUAUUCCAUUGGGUAGCUUUACAAAUGUUACCAUCAUGAACAUCUGACAUUGGUUCUCACAACAUAAGGGAAGUGACCUGACAAAAGUGUGGAAUCCCAAAAGGUAAAUAAAUAAACAUGCUCUAAGAAACAACACUAAGGCCAGGCACGGUGGCUCAAGCCUGUAAUCCCAGCACUUUGGGAGGCCGAGGCAGGUGUAUCACGAGGUCAAGAUAUCGAGACCAUCCUGGUCAACAUGGUGAAAUCCUGUCUCUACUAAAAAUACAAAAAAGUUAGCUGGGCAUGGUGGCGCGUGCCUGCAAUAGCUACUCAGGAGGCGGAGGCAGAAGAAUUGCCUGAACCCAGGAGGCGGAGGUUGCAGUGAGCCGAGAUCGCGCCAUUGCACUCCAGCCUGGGUAACAAGAGCGAAACUCCGUCUCAAAAAAAAAGGAACAACACUAAAAUUAUACAAGAAAGAAAAUAAUCAGUUUACAGUGGAUUGCUUACAACAAAUAUACAGUGUAGAGUGUUCCUUUGACCAUAGCCAGGCAUCUCUUUAUCAUGACUUCUAUAAAGUUUAACCAGAUUGGUAAAUAUUUAUGCUGGUAGAAAUAAUAUCUUUUUUAUUGCAUCUCAUUUGCAUACUGUGAAAAUAUUGCCCUUCUUUUUAUGAUAUUAUUUGUUGAUACUUCAAAAAAUCAAAGACAAAACUAUUACAAGUAGUGCUGCCAAAUCUCUGAGGCAAGUGUUUCCAAAUCAUAGCAAGCUUUUUGUUUCUGAUCUUUUGCCUCUCCCCUUUUUCCUUCUGCUGUUCGCUUACUUAAGUGGAGCUAGUAAACAUAUUAAGUACAGAGCAAGAUGACGUAGCUGACAAGCAAUCUAGAUGCCCUGGCCUAAAGCACAUCUCUCACUGGGAAUGGCCUGAUAUGCAGGUUAAUGGAGCAAUGACUCCUUCCCUGAUCAGGGACUCAGAGGAAGGCUCACUCUGCCACUAAAUUUCCUCAAUCAUAAAAAAGUAAAUAACUCUGGAAAAGCUAUCUUUUAUGUGAAUUUAUUUAUUUAAAUAUUAAAUAGUAUUAAGUUUCUACAAUAUGUUGGGUACCAUGGUAGGCCUUGAGAAAUCAAAGAUUAAUAAAAUACAGCUCAUAACCUCCAGAGAUUACAAUGUAGUGGAAGAAACAGAUAUCUAAACUGUGUAAUUUGAAAAUAUCUAGGUUUUAUUAGUUUAUGGGUAAAAUUGAGUAACUUAAAUUCCUUUGGUUCAUAGUUGUUCUUGAUAUCAAAGACCUGCCCUCUUUAAUAUCCCCUUUGGUUAUUUAUGAGGAUUCUUGGGAGUAAUUCAUAUACUUUCACAAACAGUCUUUAUGUCUUCCUCUCGAGGCAUUCAUUUUUGCCUUGAUCACUGCUAUUAGAAUCCCAUAGGAAGCAUUCUCCCAGGCAUCUAAAGAUAGGAAAUUGUCUAAGAUGAACUCCAGAUCCAUGGUUCUGGAAACUGGGUAACUAGUGCUAGCAUUAAUCAAAAAGGGAUUCUGAAAUAAAGUAUGAGAUUUUAAAAAGGGGAAGGGGAAGUAGGAGAAAGAACAAAUUUUGAGGAGAAGUUAAGAAGUGACUGUUGUGUGUUUUGUACUAAAGGUGUCUAUCAGACACCCAAGUGGAGAUGACAAAUAAGCAGUUAUCAUCAUUCUGUUGCUCAGGAGAGAAAUGUAUAAAUAUGGGGAGUUAUCAGCUUAUAGCGGCUGUCAAAGCCAUAUUUGUUGUUGAGACUGCCCUGAAAUAGUUUUUAGAAAGUGGAGAAAAGAAGAAUACAUUACAGAGAAAGAGGUCAGGUUUCUGCAGGUGAGAGACUGGAGAGAAUAUGAAGAUAAAGGUGCCUUAAAGUAAGGCGCUAAAGGGAUCAAUAUGAGGGAACAAGGUCUCAAACUUAGAAGAUUUUUUAGCCAAAAACAGAGUUCAAUUAUUUUCCAGUUUUGCUAAUUACUGCUCCUUCUUCAUAGAAAGUUUGAAAACCAAAACCUACUGGAAUUAGCUUCCUUGUUGAGGUUGUCUUUUCCAAGAGCAUUCUUUAAAUGUCAUCUACAUCCUCCUAAAAUCAAACCAAAACAAACCCCAUUCUUUGAUUUUUAUACAUGUUUACUGAAGAUGCAAGCUGAAAGCUGGAUAGGAUGCUAUAUACCAGUGAUGGAGUAAAACAAACUGAUUCUAUAUUUUUGAGUUUGUGAUAUUGACAAUUUAAGUUCUUUUUACCAGUUCUAGUUUUAUUCUCUUUGCCUAAAGUGUUUCAGUGUUUCUAAAUUACAACUCCUAUCACAAAUAUUUCUAUCAUUAUUAUUAAUAUGUAUCAAUUUAUUUGGACCUCAGUUAUAUAAAAUUGGGUUAAUCAUCAUUUUUGCUAUCUGUAUGCCUCAAUACUAUGUUUUCCUUGCUUAUUAUUAAAUCUUUGAAAAGGACAUCAAAUUGUAUGUAGUGUCCUGGGACUGGCUUUUUUUUUACUUGACAUUAUAUUAAGAUUCAUACACAGUGUUGCUUAUAGUAAUAUAUUUU
rnacentral:lncRNA from 1 species